CGGGAUAUAGCGCAGCUUGGUAGCGCGCCUGCUUUGGGAGCAGGAUGUCGUAGGUUCAAAUCCUACUAUCCCGA
rnacentral:tRNA from 1 species